GAUGAACGCUGGCGGCGUGCUUAACACAUGCAAGUCGAACGAAGCAUUUGCGACAGAUUUUUUCGGAAUGAAGUUGCUUAUGACUGAGUGGCGGACGGGUGAGUAACGCGUGGGUAACCUGCCUUGUACUGGGGGAUAGCAGCUGGAAACGGCUGGUAAUACCGCAUAAGCGCACAAUGUUUCAUGACAUGGUGUGAAAAACUCCGGUGGUAUAAGAUGGACCCGCGUCUGAUUAGCUAGUUGGUGAGAUAACAGCCCACCAAGGCGACGAUCAGUAGCCGACCUGAGAGGGUGACCGGCCACAUUGGGACUGAGACACGGCCCAGACUCCUACGGGAGGCAGCAGUGGGGAAUAUUGCACAAUGGAGGAAACUCUGAUGCAGCGACGCCGCGUGAGUGAAGAAGUAAUUCGUUAUGUAAAGCUCUAUCAGCAGGGAAGUUAGUGACGGUACCUGACUAAGAAGCUCCGGCUAAAUACGUG
rnacentral:rRNA from 1 species